CCCCAUUAGCAGUGUGCUGACGGCAGCUGUACGUCCGGACUGGCCCCGUUCAGGAGGGCAGCGCUGGGUACUCCUGCCCAAACCUCCAGGAGCUCCCUUCAGACCAAAGCCAGCUUCUCUUCCACCAACAAUCUGUGAACCGCUUAGGAGAGAGACCUUGCCUCCUAUUCUGGGGCCUGGUAUGGAAGCCGGCACAAAGCAGGCUCUCAGUGCCUGCUUAUGGAACUGUGCUUCUCAAGAACCUAUACGUGUUGAGCCACUCUGAGAUCUGGGAUCUCCCUGAUACGCGGCUUCCCUUUGGACACGCAGAUGAGUCACCAUCACCUGGUGAGAAUUAAAUGCGAUGACAGGUACAGAACUCUGUAAACUGUGAGGUUUUCACUGAGCUGCAAGGAGAACUGUUUUCAAUCGGAAGCUGACGUAGACCCCAACCUGGAGACAGACCAAGAUGUCCAUCAACAGCAGGAGCAUGGAC